rnacentral:lncRNA from 1 species
AGGAGCCUGCCCUCUUGAGCUCUUGUGGUGACCUGGGAAUCAAUGUGUGAGGUGGUGCUAUGUAGCAGGAACCCCUCUUGCUUUGCAAAUAGUUUUUUGUUUGUUUUCCUUUUUGCCCAAUAGAGCCCUGCUCUACUGACCCUUCAAUGUGCCCGUGUGCCUAAAUAUUCCUGGUCGUGUGAAAAGAACCCAGGUAUUAGCUGAACUAAGGAGCACAAUUCUGCAACAUUUUGGCACCCAAACACGGGGCUUGAGAAAUGAAUGCAAUUGGAGAAACUGGUUGUUUUACCAGGCGUUGAUUGGAAAUGUGUGCUUCCCUUUAAGCAGUCAAGCUCAACUUGCAGAACUGAUGGGAACCCCUUGGGAAAACUGGCCUCAAAUGUUUGUCUACACAGUCCACAUACAGGGUUCUUAACCUGCGAUGAGGGAAACUUCCCAGGGCUUGUCUGGGUAUGCCCACAGUGGACUGGAGCCCAAAAUGCACACUGGAGGAAGUGGAUGGAGCCACGUGGAUGUCAUGCCUUAUGCAGGGGAGGAGCCUGCUCUCUUCAGCUCCUGUGGUAAUGUGGGAAUCGAUCUGUGAGGUGAGGACCUGUUAGCAGGAACCCCUCUUGCUUUGCUGAAAGUUUUAUUUUUCUUUUUGCCCUAUAAAACCCUGUUCUACUAACCCUUCAAUAUGUCUGCAUUCCUAAAUUUUCCUGGUCAUGUGACGAGAACCUAGGUUUUAGCUGAACUAAGGAGCAAAAUUCUGCAACAUAAAGUCAAAGAAAACUAUGCCUAUAUCCAUUAAAUCAAAUGUUAAAAAGCAAAUAUAAAGAAAAAGUCUUCACAGCCCUAGAGAAAAGUGAAACAUUGUACAUAAAGAAGUAAUAAUUUGAAUGGAUUGUCAGAAACCAUGACUAGAAGACAGAGGAGCAAUAUUUUCAAAUUUCAUAGAGAAAGGAAAAAAAGAAAAGAAGAAAAAAAAGAAGACAUAAUAAAACACCUGUCAUUUUAGUAUUCUGUACCCAUUGAACAUAACCUUCAAUAGAAUGUGAAGUAGACAUAUUCAGGUGAAUAAAAAAUCAAGAGAAUAAUAGUUAUGUUCUACAUGAAAUUAUAAAGGAAAUUUCUCAGACUAGGUGGAAAUUAUACUAGUGAGAAACAGAUUUGAAGGACUAAAGGAAGAGAUGAUAGACUGACAAAGUCAAUUUUUAAAAGCCAGAUCUAACUUCUUAUUGGCUACAAGGAAUCCACUUUUAAUAUACAAAAAUAGGUAAUAAUUAAAUUGCUAGAAAAUACAUUUCAAAUAAAGAAUCAGCACAUGUAGCUUGGAGAAGAUAUAUUAACAUAAAAAGGACUUCAAUAAAAGGAGUAUUAUGAGAAGACAUUUAUGCAGCCAAAAAACACAUGAAAAAAUGCUCACCAUCACUGGCCAUCAGAG